rnacentral:rRNA from 1 species
CGGUGUUCAACUGGCGUGCCCGCGGGACGUCCUGCCGGUGAGCUCAGCCCGCGAGGGCGGCUCAACUUGAAAUCCCAUCGCGGUGCUCUUCAUUGAGUGUCGAGGUGGGCCGGCACGAUUACUUUUGAACAAAUUAGAGUGCUUAAAGCAGGCUAAAAUUUUGCCUGAAUACUGUGUAUAUGGAAUAAUGGAAUAGGACCUCGGUUCUAUUUUGUUGGUUUUCGGAACCCCGAGGUAAUGAUUAAUAGGAACGGAUGGGGGCAUUCGUAUUGCGACGUUAGAGGUGAAAUUCUUGGAUCGUCGCAAGACGGACUAAAGCGAAAGCAUUUGCCAAAAACGCUUUCAUUGAUCAAGAACGAAAGUUAGAGGUUCGAAGGCGAUCAGAUACCGCCCUAGUUCUAGCCAUAAACUAUGCCAGCUAGCGAUCCGCCGACGUCCCUCUGAUGACUCGGCGGGCAGCUUCCGGGAAACCAAAGCUUUUGGGUUCCGGGGGAAGUAUGGUUGCAAAGCUGAAACUUAAAGGAAUUGACGGAAGGGCACCACCAGGAGUGGAGCCUGCGGCUUAAUUUGACUCAACACGGGAAACCUCACCAGGCCCAGACACUGGAAGGAUUGACAGAUUGAGAGCUCUUUCUUGAUUCAGUGGGUGGUGGUGCAUGGCCGUUCUUAGUCGGUGGAGCGAUUUGUCAGGUUAAUUCCGAUAACGGACGAGACUCUGACCUGAUAACUAGACGCACUUGCGGCAUCUCAAAGGUCCGCCGGCGGCUGGCUUUGCGCCCGUCGUCGCGCGCGAUUUUUACUGCCGGCGUACAAUAAAUUCUUCUUAGAGGGACAAGUGG